UGGGGAAUUUUGGACAAUGGGGGCAACCCUGAUCCAGCAAUGCCGCGUGAGUGAAGAAGGCCUUCGGGUUGUAAAGCUCUUUUGUCAGGGAAGAAACGGUAGUAGCGAAUAACUACUACUAAUGACGGUACCUGAAGAAUAAGCACCGGCUAACUACGUGCCAGCAGCCGCGGUAAUACGUAGGGUGCAAGCGUUAAUCGGAAUUACUGGGCGUAAAGCGUGCGCAGGCGGUUGUGUAAGUCAGAUGUGAAAUCCCCGGGCUCAACCUGGGAAUUGCAUUUGAGACUGCACGGCUAGAGUGUGUCAGAGGGGGGUAGAAUUCCACGUGUAGCAGUGAAAUGCGUAGAUAUGUGGAGGAAUACCGAUGGCGAAGGCAGCCCCCUGGGAUAACACUGACGCUCAUGCACGAAAGCGUGGGGAGCAAACAGGAUUAGAUACCCGUGUAGUCCCUGAGCGGGCUGGCAAGGCGCAU
rnacentral:rRNA from 1 species